rnacentral:rRNA from 1 species
ACGGGGGGGGCAAGCGUUGUUCGGAAUUACUGGGCGUAAAGGGCUCGUAGGCGGCCAACUAAGUCAGACGUGAAAUCCCCAGGCUCAACCUGGGAACUGCGUCUGAUACUGGGAGGCUUGAAUCCGGGAGAGGGAUGUGGAAUUCCAGGUGUAGCGGUGAAAUGCGUAGAUAUCUGGAGGAACACCGGUGGCGAAGGCGGCAUCCUGGACCGGUAUUGACGCUGAGGCGCGAAAGCCAGGGGAGCAAACGGGA